GUGCCAGACUCCUACGGGAGGCAGCAGUCGGGAAUAUUGCGCAAUGGAGGAAACUCUGACGCAGUGACGCCGCGUAUAGGAAGAAGGUUUUCGGAUUGUAAACUAUUGUCGUUAGGGAAGAGAAAGGAUAGUACCUAAGGAGGAAGCCCCGGCUAACUACGUGCCAGCAGCCGCGGUAAUACGUAGGGAGCGAGCGUUAUCCGGAAUUAUUGGGUGUAAAGGGUGCGUAGACGGGAAAGCAAGUUAGUUGUGAAAUCCCUCGGCUUAACUGAGGAACUGCAACUAAAACUACUUUUCUUGAGUGCAGGAGAGGUAAGUGGAAUUCCUAGUGUAGCGGUGAAAUGCGUAGAUAUUAGGAGGAACACCAGUGGCGAAGGCGGCUUACUGGACUGUAACUGACGUUGAGGCUCGAAAGCGUGGGGAGCAAACAGGAUUAGAUACCCGGGUAGAA
rnacentral:rRNA from 1 species